rnacentral:rRNA from 1 species
UACAACUUUCAACAACGGAUCUCUUGGCUCUCGCAUCGAUGAAGAACGCAGCGAAAUGCGAUAAGUAAUGUGAAUUGCAGAAUUCAGUGAAUCAUCGAAUCUUUGAACGCACCUUGCGCCCUUUGGUAUUCCGAAGGGCAUGCCUGUUUGAGUGUC